rnacentral:rRNA from 1 species
UCAGGAUGAACGCUAGCUACAGGCUUAACACAUGCAAGUCGAGGGGCAGCGGGAUUGAAGCUUGCUUCAAUUGCCGGCGACCGGCGCACGGGUGAGUAACGCGUAUCCAACCUUCCGUACACUCAGGGAUAGCCUUUCGAAAGAAAGAUUAAUACCUGAUGGUAUGAUGAGAUUGCAUGAUAGCAUCAUUAAAGAUUUAUCGGUGUACGAUGGGGAUGCGUUCCAUUAGGUAGUUGGCGGGGUAACGGCCCACCAAGUCGACGAUCAGUAGCCGGACUGAGAGGUUGACCGGGCCACAUUGGGACUGAGAUACGGCCCAGACUCCUACGGGAGGCAGCAGUGGGGAAUAUUGGGCAAUGGGCGCAAGCCUGACCCAGCAACGCCGCGUGAAGGAAGAAGGCUUUCGGGUUGUAAACUUCUUUUAAGUGGGAAGAGUAGAAGACGGUACCACUUGAAUAAGCCACGGCUAACUACGUGCCAGCAGCCGCGGUAAUACGUAGGUGGCAAGCGUUGUCCGGAUUUACUGGGUGUAAAGGGCGUGCAGCCGGGCAUGCAAGUCAGAUGUGAAAUCUCAGGGCUUAACCCUGAAACUGCAUUUGAAACUGUAUGUCUUGAGUGCCGGAGAGGUAAUCGGAAUUCCUUGUGUAGCGGUGAAAUGCGUAGAUAUAAGGAAGAACACCAGUGGCGAAGGCGGAUUACUGGACGGUAACUGACGGUGAGGCGCGAAAGCGUGGGGAGCGAACAGGAUUAGAUACCCUGGUAGUCCACGCUGUAAACGAUGGAUACUAGGUGUGCGGGGACUGACCCCCUGCGUGCCGCAGUUAACACAAUAAGUAUCCCACCUGGGGAGUACGAUCGCAAGGUUGAAACUCAAAUGAACUGACGG